AUUGAACGCUGGCGGCAGGCCUAACACAUGCAAGUCGAACGAGUGGCGGACGGGUAAGUAAUGUCUGGGAAACUGCCCGAUGGAUGGGGAUAACUAAUGUAAACGGUAGCUAAUACCGCAUCCCAUCGGAUGUGCCCAGAUGGGAUUAGCUAGUAGGUGGGGUCAAGGCUCACCUCGGCGACGAUCCCUAGCUGGUUUGAGAGGAUGACCAGCAAACCUGGAACUUAGCAAGGUGCCAGACUCCUACGGGAGGCAGCAGUGGGGAAUAUUGCACAAUUGGCGCAAGCCUGAUGCAGCCAUGCCGCGGGUAUGAAGAAGGCCUUCGGGUUGUAAAGUACUUUCAGCGAGGAGGCGUUACCCGCAGAAGAAGCACCGGCUAACUCCGUGCCAGCAGCCGCGGUAAUAC
rnacentral:rRNA from 1 species